CCUACGGGUGGCAGCAGUAGGGAAUAUUCCACAAUGGACGAAAGUCUGAUGGAGCGACACAGCGUGCAGGAUGAAGGCCCUAUGGGUUGUAAACUGCUGUGGUUAGGGAAGAAAAAGUAGCAUAGGAAAUGAUGCUACCUUGACGGUACCUGAUUAGAAAGCAACGGCUAACUAUGUGCCAGCAGCCGCGGUAAUACAUAGGUUGCAAGCGUUAUCCGAAAUUAUUGGGCGUAAAGCGUCUGUAGGUUGUUUGUUAAGUCUGGCGUUAAAUUUUGGGGCUCAACCCCGAAACGCGUUGGAUACUGGCAGACUAGAGUUAUGUAGUGGUUAGCGGAAUUCCUUGUGAAGCGGUGAAAUGCGUAGAUAUAAGGAAGAACAUCAAUAUGGCGAAGGCAGCUAACUGGGCAUACACUGACACUGAGAGACGAAAGCGUGGGGAGCAAACAGGAUUAGAUACCCCCGUAGUC
rnacentral:rRNA from 1 species